AGCUCUUCCGGCACCUGCUCUUCAGGCACCUGCCCUGUGCUGGCCCCUCCUGCAACAAUCGGGAGCCCUCACCUCAGUCGGCGCUGCAGAACCAGCCCAGGAGAGCAGCUGGCCUGUCAUCUGCUGAGGAGCGGAGGCGUGCGGGGAUCCGGAGGGGAAGGGGGUCUGGAGUGCUCCGGGGGAGACCCUCAGGGACUGCCCUGCUGCUGGCAGCGCCUGGGCCCACGGCUGAUGGAGGCGUCUCCUGGCCCCCAGGGCUGUGCCCAGGACUGCAAUGGCCUCCCACACUACCUCACUACCCUGGUCCAGGCUCACUGACAGAUGAGGAAACUGAGGCAGGGGCCCCGGUCUCACGGCCAUUGGUGCAGAGCUGGGAUCCACGACCAGAUUCUACCAAUUAAAAAAAGGAAAUGUGGGCCGGGCGUGGUGGCUCAUGCCUGUGAUCCCAGCACUUUGGGAGGCCGAGGCAGGUGGAUCACCCAAGGUCAGGAGUUCAAGAGCAGCCUGGCCAACAGGGUGAAAUCCCAUCUCUCCUAAAAAAACAAAACAAAACAAAACAAAACAAAACAAAAACAGAAUUAGCCGGGCAUGGUGGUGGGCACCUGUAGUCCCAGCUACUGGGGAGGCUGAGGCAGAAGAAUCACAUAAACCCAGGAGGCCGGAGGUUCCAACGAACUAGGAUCGCACCACUGCACUCCAGCCUGGGCAACAAAGUGAGACUCUGUCUCAAAAAAAAAAAAAAAAAGAAAAAAAAAGGAAAAGAGAAAGAAAAAGAAAAAAAGUGACAAUUCACAUAGACCCCUGAAAACCUCUGGGCUUAGGGACAGCAAGAGCCUUCCUGGGGCCUCCUGGACCAUGUCAGGGCCUCCGAGGCCUCUGGGACGCCAUCCCUGCUCAGCUUCCUCACUCUCCUUUUGCCCGAGAACAAGCUCUGUUCUGGCCACGGCGUUGUCUACACAACACAGCUAACUGCUUUGCCAUCAGCCCUCAUACAGAUUUAAAACACACACACACACACACACAAAAGAUAAGGUUAUGGGCUGCACUGCGUCCCCCAAAUUCACAGAGUGAAGUCCCGACUUCAGGAUCCGCCUGUAUUCAGACACAGGGUCUUUACAGAGGCGACAAAGGUGAAACAAGGUUACCAGGGUGGGCUCUGACCUGACCUACCGGCGUCCUUAAAAGAGGAGGACACAGACACGCAGGAGGGGCGGCCACGCAAGGACACAGGGAGGUGGUGCCGCCUGCCUGCAAGGAGAGGCCUCGUAACAGCCACGCCGCACCUCAACCCGGGACGCCCCCAGGACUGGAGAGAACCCACAUCUGCUGUGGGAGCACCUGGCCACGGUGUGUGCGAGGCGGCCCCGGCAAACUCACGUAGACAGGACCCAGCUCCCCCAGGCCAUCUUUCAAUGGGAGAGGGUGACCCAGUGUUUUCCCAAAACCCAGCACGGUCCCCAGGACGCGUUCCCCACCAGGGUGGGCUGGGCCGGAUCACAGCCCAGGCUCCCAGAGACUUCCGGUGCCACAUCAGCUCACAGAGCUUCCUGUUUCAGCCCAGAUCAGAAACACCAUGAGACGCCCAAGGAGGAAUAUUUUAAUACUUCUGCUAUUGGCCUCACCCAAAACCAGAAAGUGCAGGGAGUCGUGAAAAUGAAGAAAAUGAUCAGAACCUGAGGGACCAGGCCGUGCCAUCCGAAGACAAUCCUGAGAUCUCUCUCCGGGCCCUGCCCUGCCCCUCCCUCUCUGCCCCCAGCAGGAGCCCCCUUUUCCCCUGGGGCCAAGAACCCAGGCCACACAGGGUGCAGAAGACCCGCCAGGGAGGCCACAGCAGGGGACAGAAAAGAAGGCCCGUCGCUGGCAUGAGGGGUGGCUUCCAUGUGGGGAAACUGAGUCAGUAGCAAUUCCAGAUUGGAGGUCCUAACCAGGUCAGGUAUGCGGGCACCGCACCGUCAGCCAAGACCACAGCCCCACCUCCUCAACAGCUGGGCCCACGCCAUCGGGGGGGCGUUCCAAGAGACUUAAAAAAACCAUAACCCAACCCCGAGGAGGUGCCCUCUGAGGUGGGGUGUCCCAUACUAGAGUCAGGGUGACCUGAGGACAGGCCAGGCACACAGGGCCACCCUGAGUAAAGACGGGGGACCCAGGAGGGCCUGGGACUAGCCAGGAUGGUGGCUGCUGUGUUGAGAGGGCAUCUGGGACCCCAACCCGCAGCCCCUCGUCUCCUUAUGAGCCAUGGGGCCUCAGGAAAUGCACCCCAUUUCGUGCCUCAGUUUCCCUCCUGGGCUGAACUGUGUCCCCCACAGCCAUGUGUUGAGGUCCUGACCCCAGACCUGUGAGUGUGACCUUAUUUGGAGGCAGGGUCUGCACAGAGGUAACGAGGUUAAAGCAAGGUCAGCUGGGUGGGCCCUGACCCACCCAGACACACAGAGAGAGAACAGGCCACAUGACACGGGGCCGAGGCCGUGGCAGUGCUUCCGCCAGCCAAGAAGCACGGAAGACCUCAGGCCACAAAGCCAGGAGCGGCCUGGGACAGACCCCACUCACGGCCUCGGGGGCCAGCCCUGCUCACACCUUGACCUUGGACU
rnacentral:lncRNA from 1 species